UACCUGGUGGUGGAAAGUAUCACACCCGUAUUUCAUGGAAUGUAUUUUGACUGCUUCAAUGGGAGUCGUCGGUUCGAGUCCGACCCAGGUCA